rnacentral:lncRNA from 1 species
AGGAACCUACCUUGUUCACAUCCAACAAACAUCUUAGUGUUCAAAUAUGACAUAAUAAUCCAUUACAACUAAACAUCACAUGACUAAGGUUCAGAAACAUCAUAGUUCAACCUUGUUGGCCUCAUACAUUAUGCCAACAGAAACACUCACAUCUUAGGGUACUUAGUUCAACGGAAACAACAUAAUUUGCUAACAAGUUCAUCACAGAUUUGCCUCACAAAAACAACAUAAUUUGCCUCACUCAUCACAGAGUUCUUUGAUUUUCCUCAACUUAACCUUGUUUGCCUCCCCAUCCUUCAGCAAAUCAGCUAUGAUAUACUCUAGCUUUUUCUUCUCCUUCUUCAUCUGUUCAAUCUAUUGAAGACCUUCAUCUGCUACUUGUUUCUUCCAAUUGCUAACAAGUUCAUCAUUGCUCUGCUUAAUGACUUGUAGUGCUGUCCUUAGCUCAAUAUUGUCUUUCUCAAGCUUAGCCUUCUCUUCCUCGGCUUGAAGUACAGCAUUUUCUACAUCCCCAUCCUGCAUAAUCUUCUGAUAGUUCUCUCUCAUCACAUUCUUGUGAAUUGUUGAAAAAAAAUUGCUUGUUUCUUUGAUGUGGUUGUGGUGCUUCUCUUGGAUUAGCUUCUUCUCUUCUCCCAGCUUGAGUAUGAGCUUUUCUUUAACAUCAUUCUCUUUGCUACUCUGCUCAUACAUAUCCCAAAGUCUGCGAAGUGCAUUUUUCACGGGUUCUGGCCAUUCUGGGUCAAUCCAUUGAACCAGACCACAAUUGUCACCUUCCUAUAAUAAUUCAGACAAAACCAGAGUUAACAGCCACAUUCAGAGAAGUCACUUGGUACCUAUAUUCAGUUAACAACUACAUAUAUUCAGUUAAACAGCUACAUACAUUCAGUUAAUAGCUACAUAUAUUCAGUUAACUGAGCUCAUUUAAAACCAGACACGUUCAGUUAAGCAUUGAUUAAACUUGACACAUUUUCCCCUCAAAACAGCUGAUAAAACAACAUCUUCAGAAAACUAAGUACACAACUAUAUUCAGUUAACAGACAUAUAAACCUAUAUUCAGUUCACUGAGCAUCAAAGAAAGGAUUUGUAUAAUGUACAUGUACAAGAGAGGACCUGCCACUAACCUGAUUACCGCAUCCAUAAAACCUACGGCCAGUGUUGAUUCCUUGAAACACAACAGCCCUAUGAACAGGAAGGUUGUGAUAGCACAUCGGUCCUCCGGCAACAAUACCGCACCACUCCGGGUCAACAAUGGUCUGUGGGAUCUGCAAUAGUGCAACAAUGCUCAAUAUCCCAACUCAAAUUCGUGAAAACUAAGCUCAAAUCGAAGAAAACCCUAACCCUAAGUCAAAGAGAAAUGAUACUCACAUAGGUCUCGUCCUCGUGCGAGUUGAAGAGGGGGGACACAGAAUCUUCGCUACUAGUUUCGCCGUCCUUCCAGGACACCAUCGCUGCGGCGGCCGGCGGCGAGAAAUGGACGGCGGAGGCGGUGGCGAAUGAGCCGCAGGCAGAGACGAAGGCGAGAGAGAGGGGAAUGGACGAACGGGUCGUGCUGGGUCGGGCCGGCUCAUUAGGUCAAGGUGCAACGUCGUCUAACGGCGCGCGUCACGGGCGCCGUCUCCCCCUGGACACGUGGCGCCUGACAGCGGGCCCAACCGGUCAGUUUUCCACUCAGACGCGCCAAACCGUUCAAUCAGUGCUAUUUGAAAACUGUCAGCGCAAACGUGGUGGUUUUUUGAAAAAAAAAUGAAAGGUGGUGGUUUUCUGUUUUAGCGUCCCCUAAUGUGGUGGUUCUUUGCAAUUUACUCUACUAACAAAUAUGUUUGCUAGAUAUUCAAAUACAGCCAAAUGAAAAUGUUUUUAUAUUUUCUGAGUUUCUGAUUCAGGAUUGAUAACCAAAACCAACGAAAAUUGUAGUCUUUUUUUAAAAAAAAGAUGGUGGAUAUCUCCAUCAUCAUCUCCUUGAUUGCAAAUUUUUGUAAGUAGCUUACCAAGCUGACUGCUUGGUAUCUCCAUCAUCAUCUCGAAAUGUAAGAACUUUUAUCCAUGUGCAAUAAUCUAGACAUGGCAUCUCUAGACCAACGAUUUAACUUCAUUGAAUAGGUAAAUCAAACACAAUUAGAUCUCGAUGUUCAUAUGUGCCUUAACUAAAGUCAAACUCGAUUUUUAAGACACCUGAUAAAACUAAAGUCAAACCUAUCUUCCUUUUUUACAUCUUGAUGUUCAUCUCUUCCUUAACUAAAGAAACUAUGAACGAUAAAAUUUGUACAAGCUCGACUAACCUUAAUUUGAAGCUAGUCUAUCAAAUCAUUGUACCGUCGUUGGAAGACCACAUACAUGUGAAGAUCAAGGCUACAAAAGAACGAAACACAAAAACUAAAAACCACAUAAUCAAACUCGACACCAAUAAUGCCACCACCACUAUGAAGAACAUAUAAAAAUCUAAAAAUCAGAUUACCUGGGGAUAACCUGCAAAUUGACCACGUUAACUGCAACUUCAAGGCAAUUGCACGGCCUUCCCGUUAGUUGCUUUUCUUUCCAUUCCAGGAAAGAAAAGAAAAUGUGCAAUGCAAACCACUAUAAAGGCCUUGAUAGGCUUUAUAAUUCUACGGUCGGCCCACUUCUGAACUUCACGUUAGUCGUCGUAUAACACCGUGCCCCUAAGGAAAGCCCAGAGUAAAAAAAACUAAAGGAAAGCCCAACAUCCAAUCCUCCUGCAUGGUGCAUCUGGUCCAGCCUCACAGUACCCUAAAAAAGUUCUGCUCCGGCCUCACCGCCAUUGGGAUGCUACUCCAGCGAGAGAUUCGGUUCGCCUCUGCUGCCAUAAGCAGGCGGCCUGAGGCCUCGUCAUCCACCUCCUAAGAUUUCAUGGUGGAACACGCCGCCGUCGUUCCUCCGACCGAGCGCGUCUUCUCUCAAUAGGUGAAAGUUCUCGAAACCCGAUUGAUGCUUCAGAAGUUUCCUUUUCCCCCGAAUAGAUGGAUCUUUCAAGAAUUGAAGCUUUUUCAGUCUAGCCGAUUGUUCGGAAGUCAAUUUUGGAUUGCAUCUUUUCCCCCAACACACAUUCUUCAACUGGCUCGUCCCAGUUUGCAACCUUAAAUCUUGUACUGUAGAUAUUUUACUGUACCUUUUACUACUAGCUGAUCUUAUGCAUCGACACCAGCUUCUGUUGCUGCAGACGAAUCUCUCCGGUGAUCCUGUGAUUGUGGGUCCUAAGUCCUAACUAAACCGCGCAUAGCAGCCCAAACCGGCUGCCAUGGAGACUCCAGCUGACUCUUCUGUCGACACCAGCAGGUAAGCCUCUGAUCUCUACUAAUGGGAUGUAAGUUUGGCCUAUUUGUUUAGGGGCACGGUGGUGACGAGCCUAAUAUUUGCUACGUUUGGUUUAUGUCAUCCCCCUCCAUGCACAUUGCCCAGGUGGGUGCUCGAGAGUUGAUCUUUCACGUCUUUUGUAUGGAACUACUUCAACAAUUUAACCAUCGUUACAGGACUUCUCUUUUGUUUACCUCUGUCUAUAGUUCCUAUGGGAAGCAAUGUUAAUCAAGUGUUUGGUUUUUUUAGCCAAAGGAAGUUACACAACCAAAUAACAUGUAACAUAAAGCAUGUCCUACUGAUUUUUCCAUGAGUAGAAUAAAAGAUAGUGUUGUUAAACAUGGAACCAAGAUACAGGAAAAACUGAAAGGGUAAUGUUUCAAGUCUAAAUGUUGUCUUCUUGAUCUGUGAAGCUGGAUCCAAGUGUUAUUUCAGCUUGCGUUAGUAAUUUGGAUAACUUGGACAUCUAUAUGUGUUCCGAUUUUGUUUUCAGUAUCUAUUGUAUCCUUGUCCUUGCAUUUUUCAAGAGCUUAACUUGUUUUCCUUGAUUCAAGUCUGUCCAUGAGCACUUCAGAAACAAUGCUUAUGCCAAAGAUCUACGCGAAGCCAACAAGGUGAAUUUCUGUUUAUUUCAUUCGAUGUCAUAUAUGGCUGAGUUGUUGAACACUUCCAAGGUCUUUGAGUUGUCAAUAUGAAUUGACUAAUUUGAAUAAUUGAGCUUAAGUCGUUGAACCUUCAUUAGGCUAUGGUUUCUUUGUCCCUUUUGAAGUAUGUGUAACAUGAGACCAUGUGCAACUGUUCGCUUUGGCUUACUUCUGUUUCAGUUUACAUUCUUAUUCAAGGAGUUAGACAUAAUGCUUGAUUGGUACUUAGAUGGUGCUAGUCCUCAGAAACUGUUGGUACUACUGAUUGGCUUGUGCAUAGGUCUGGAGUACCUGGUUUACAAGUUAAGCGUCGGUUAGCGUGUUACUGUGCACUAUAUGAUUGGGUCCUAGUUACAUUGUGCUGGGGUUGGAUUCAUCAUUUAUGUACAUUUUGGUGUUACUUCUCAGAGUAUAUAACUAGGUCACAAUUUUAUUUCCUUCCCUAGCUAGAGAUUGCGAUGGGCAUGAAUGCUGAAAGUAGUGCUGGCCUAAAGCAAGGCCGUAUCUGGGUUUGGCUUCACAAUGUUUGGACUUCACUUAGGCCUCAUUUGGUUUCAUGGGAUCCGGGGGGAUCCCUGGCUUUUCCCCGGCCAGAGAAACCACGGACUAAAUUCUCCCCGGGUGAUCCACCAGCGCAUUUGGAGACCCAAGAGACAGGGGCAGCCCCGCCCUUUCCCUAGGUGAGGCUUCCACGCCUCGUGAGGUCAGGGAGAAAAUCCUCGUCGCUUGGUAUCGCGAACGAGAGGCGGCGGCGACCAGAUCAAGAACUCCUCCGCCGUCCAGCGCCCCGCCCUUCAUGGUCCAACGCUCCACCGUCCCCCGGCUCUCCUCCGGCAACUGGAAGCAGCGCACCCCCAUCUCCCUCCACCUCCACGCCCUGCACCUCUGGCGGGGGCGACGGCGACCCGAGGUCGUCACCAUCUCUCUCCGCCUUGAAGUUCCCUCACCUCCGGCAAAGACGACAACCAGGAGGUUAUCCUCCUCUUUCACCAAGGUAUCCCCUCAUCCUCCUCUUCUACCCGAGUGUUUUUCUUCUCCAUGGUGAUGCCUUCCCUGCCAUUCGCGGACACGAGAUGAGGAGCUCUGUGCAGAUCCAAAAACCUCCUCUUUGGUCUGCUUCCUUUUGUUUGCAGCUCCCCCUAGCCCCUAACAUGCUUGAUUUGUUCUCAUGGAAGAUCCCAACAAAUUAUUAUGGAAGAAAAAUUGUUGUUUCUUGCCACUAUAGACUGAAUUGAUGAUUGGUGUUUUUCUUUCUGCCAUCAAAAUGACAAGUGGGAGCAGCAAGAUUAGAUAAUCAUUUAGUUAUACUAGUAUGUAUAUUGUCAUAACUUGGAAGAAUUAGUGAUGGGUAAUCGCUACUAACCUGUGUUCUGGCGAAGUGCCAAAGUGGUAAUUACUAUGUCGUUCAGGACAUGAACAAUUGAGUGUUGAAUGCCAGCUUUGUGUAGGUUUAGUUCAGUCAGCUUCCUAUAGGUUUGUUUUUCAGCUAGCUUGCUGUUAACAUGUCAUUUGUUGGAUAUUACAUUUUUCUAUGGCAGAUUAAAAAUAUAGAACUAUCUAUGAUUACUUGGCACAUAUAUGUAGCUUCUGUAGUUUCUUGUGCACUCUGUACUACCAGCAUUUGAUAGGUUGUACUUGGUGUGAAAUUCAUUGAUGUUGAUUUACACAAGUUUCAUAUUCAUUGAUGUUAUUAGAAUAUCACUAUGUUUGUAUUUACUCUAUUCCUAGGCUCCCACCUACUUGUUCUU